AACGCGAAGAACCUUACCGGGGCUUGACAUCCCGCGCUAUCCUAGGAGACUAGGUUUCCGGGCAACCGGACGCGGAGACAGGUGCUGCAUGGCUGUCGUCAGCUCGUGCCGUGAGGUGUUGGGUUAAGUCCCGCAACGAGCGCAACCCUUGCCGUGUGUUGGUCGCAAGAUCUCUCACGCGGGACCGCCGGUGACAAGCCGGAGGAAGGUGGGGAUGACGUCAAGUCAGCAUGGCCCUUACGUCCCGGGCUACACACGUGCUACAAUGGACGGUACAAAGGGCUGCCAACCCGCGAGGGGGAGCCAAUCCCAAAAAACCGUUCUCAGUUCGGAUUGCAGGCUGCAACUCGCCUGCAUGAAGCUGGAAUCGCUAGUAAUGGCGGAUCAGAACGCCGCCGUGAAUACGUUCCCGGGCCUUGUACACACCCUAGUC
rnacentral:rRNA from 1 species